rnacentral:piRNA from 1 species
UGCAACUGAAUGGUGACUAGAUUUCUGCACU